rnacentral:rRNA from 1 species
CGCCCCUACAUCAGUGUGCGACGGACCUUCUGGGGUUCCCAGAGGGUUACGGAGCGGCGGACGGCCGAGUAACGCGUAAGCAACCUGCCCCUCGGAGGGGGAUAACCCUCUGAAAAGGGGGCUAAUACCCCAUACGCUUAGGGAGGCGCAUGUCUCCUUAAGGAAAGGAAGGAAACUUCCGCCGAGGGAGGGGCUUGCGUCCUAUCAGCUAGUUGGUGAGGUAACGGCUCACCAAGGCGAUGACGGGUAGCUGGCCUGAGAGGGUGGUCAGCCGGACUGGGACUGAGACACGGCCCAGACUCCUACGGGAGGCAGCAGGGCGGAAUCUUGCGCAAUGCCCGAAAGGGUGACGCAGCGACGCCGCGUGAGGGAUGAAGCCCUUCGGGGUGUAAACCUCUUUUGCAGGGGAAGAAGUUCUGACGGUACCCUGCGAAUAAGUCCCGGCCAAUUACGUGCCAGCAGCCGCGGUAAAACGUGAGGGGCGAACGUUGUCCGGAAUCACUGGGCGUAAAGGGUACGCAGGCGGUGGAGAAAGUCGGGUGUGAAAGCCUCAGGCUUAACCUGAGGGGGACGCUCGAUACUUCUCCACUUGAGGAAGGGAGAGGGAGGUGGAAUUCCCGGUGUAGCGGUGAAAUGC